AGGGCGUUUAGUGUAAAAUUAAGGGCAGGUCUUGGAAAGCAGCCACAAAGUAACACAAUGUUCCGGCUGUACUGUAGCUGUACCACACCGCCGCCGCUGAUGAGAACACUGUGUUCCAAUAGACACCCUGACCCUGUAACCCGUUCCGUGCCGAGCCAGGCCGGGAACAGGCUGUACCGCAGCAGGCUGUCCUCUCUCUCCCCGCUCAGCUGACAACACGUAUCACCAGCGCACAGGCGGGGAUGUGUAAGCACCGAAAUAAAAGCACACCUCAGUGGCCGAUAAGACGCGCGCUCAGACGGAUUACUGUGUCAGUAAAAUGGACGGUGACAAACAAAAACAAGGCGUCUUUUUUUCCUUUCUUUUUUUAAUCUCUGUUGAUCGGACAUGUUCAUGGUUAAAGUACACUUGGUUGUUCUCUAACUUAACUCCACGGCAUCCGCGUUACGUACAUGGGAGUAAUCUCCUGAGUGAUCCGUUUUAUCCGUAAACUUUUGCCCCCUGAAGCAAGAGUUUUUUUCACCGCUGCGCCUGCCAAGGACCCUAAAUAAGUGACUAAGAAACUGAACAGUGAAUAACAGAGGGAUCCUGUUAUCGUUUGAACCUUGAAAGACUGUAUCUUGCUGUUGCUGUGGUUUGGUGCUAAUUUUAUCAGUUCUGGUGAUGGGUUUAAGUAUAGAUGUGAUUAUGUGCAAAAAAACAUGUUGAUAUUGCAAGUUGAGUUGUGGCUACUUUUAAACUUUUAAUGUAUUAUGUUGGGUAGUUCACUCUGUGGCAGUGCAUUGUUGUUUAUAAGCUAAGUAUCACUGUAUGUGCCCAACAGUGAGCCAUCUGUACAUAUAUUUAGAUAUUUGGAAGGCCAGUUUCUGGCAGAGACUACCGCCUUGGAAAAACAAAUGGCCUGUGUUCAUUUAUAAAUGUCAUUUGAUGUUCCAUCUCCUUUGAGGUAAAUUUUAGGUGCUUUCCUGUAAAUCCCCCUCCUCUUUCUCUCAUGCACUUUUGUGGGAGUUUUAGUGUUCUGUUCUGUAGCCUUUCAUGCAUGAUUGCCACACAGCUGAGCAAAACAAAAUGUCGAAGAUUUCUCUUUUUUUUGUUUUAUUUUUAUGUUUUGUCAGUUUAUAUUUCCGUCCUUAAGGAAUCAUUAUUUUAUUUUAAAUGCAUUUUUCUUUUACAAAUAAAAAGACAAAUGAUACCGAAUGCUUUGUUUGUAGUCCUGAACAGCCUUCUUCUGCUUAAAUGACUCAAAAAAAACACGCUCAAACACAUUUUGUCACCUUUACAACUUUUCUUAAUUCUACAUCACUGCAUGUACACAUUAUUUCUGAACUAAUAAAAGUAUUCAGCCACAGAAAAUAACACAUUGCGUGUUUGAAGUUUUAGAGACUGUAAAAGCUAAUAAAUACAGCUGAUUUAUUAAUCUCUGCAUAUGUGUUGACAUUACUGUGCUUCAAAAAUCCCAAAUAAAUCUAUCUCAGUGUCUAGAGAGAA